CUACCAAUUCAGUGCAUCGAUUGGCGAUUGGCUGCCGCACGCGUCGAUUUCGCAAGUGCGUCAAAAUGGCCGACUACGUGGAAGUUUGAGAAAGAAUUACUGAACGCAUUUACCGUCAACUCACACGAAGGCAGAAGAGAACGAGUAAUAUUUUUUUAGGGAUAAAGAUCGUUUCGUGAUUUUUUGAUCGCGAUGACACGACACGCGAGGAAUUGCACCGCAGGUGCUGUGUACACGUACCACGAGAAGAAGAAGGACGCCGCGGCGUCAGGUUAUGGUACGAACACACAGAGGGUAGGCAAGGACUCCGUCAAGGAUUUCGACUGCUGUUGCUUGACUCUGCAGCCCUGCAGGAAUCCAGUGAUAACGAAGGAUGGCUAUCUAUUUGACAAAGAGGCAAUAUUGGAAUACAUCUUGACGAAGAAAAAGGAAUACGCAAGGAAAUUGAAGGAAUAUGAGAAGCAAAAGCAAAAGGAAGAGGAACAAUCGCAAGAACAAACAGCCAAUGAAGAGCUGAAGAAGCUGCAGAAUUUUCUGAAGGGUGAGAAAACUAUUGUGUCGAGCACUCCUAGUACAUCUGAUGGAGAUUCAGUGUCUAAUAUGAAGAAUGGCAAGGAUAAGAUGUUACCAAGUUUCUGGAUACCCUCGAAGACACCAGGAGCAAAGGAAGUUUCCUUACAGAAGCCUGACAAGACUAUUUAUUGUCCUGUCAGUGGAAAGCCAUUGAAAGUAAAGGAUCUGAUUCCAAUAAAAUUCACAGUGGUUAAGGAUCCAGAUGACAAGAGAUCGCUUAUCGUCAAACAGGCGCGAUACAUGUGUCCAAUUACGCACGAUGUCUUGGGCAAUAGUGUCCCUUGCGCAGUGAUAAAAACAACCGGCGACGUGGUCACAAUAGAGUGUGUAGAAAAGUUGAUAAAAAAGGAUUGGAUCAACCCUUUAGAUAAUUCGAAAUUGACGCCGUCUGAUAUUAUUCCUCUACAAAGAGGUGGCACUGGUUAUGCAUUUGUUAAUGACUCAUUAGAGGGCAAGCACGAAAGGCCAGUGUUGCAGGCGUGAAGAACUACAUACAUACUUUUCGUUGCUUGAUUGUAUAUAGAUGAUUUAACUUAACAAGAAGAUAUCGAAGUUCUUGCGCUGCAGACAUGGAAAGAUAGUUUGCAGUUUUCGGCACAGACUCUCGAAAGUGCUUAUACUGAAGAAAAGGUGGACUAUGGGUACUUCCCUGACGGUCCAUUGAUCCUUGUCUAUUAAGUGUAAUUGGAACUUUUCAAGUCGAAACUGCGUUCAACAGAAAAAGCAGCUUUUCAACUGUUGUAAAAUACAAUAUGAUUGCUUCUCGUCCUUAAUUCCUGCAAGAUCUGAAUGUAUAAACCAAUCAUAAGAGUCUUACAAAAUCUUAUAUUGAAGUGUUUGCUCCGUCGCAGGUCAUCGUAUUCGUUGCUUUAGCUCAGCGAACGUUGGAGUUGUAACGAUGCAUCGGAUAUAUUCUUCGCGAAUAAUCGACUUCCAUUACUCGACCGAAGGGUAGAUGGGUGAACCAGGAUGAACAAGCGCCGGAGUAAUAAUAUUUGCUUUGCGCUAUCACGGCGCGCAUGUGCAAUUCGUGCUAAUUUUUCAAUAUCGGCGUGCGCGUACGUCGAGACUGCGCGUACUGCGGCUGCGAUCCAUUUGACAAGCUACAAAUGCUUCGAAGCGUCUGUAACAUCAAGAGGACCGUAGUCCACGCUAAACGCGACUCAUCUCGCGCGCUCGAAUACAAUAGCAAGACCGAAUAAAAAA